AGAGUUUGAUCAUGGCUCAGAUUGAACGCUGGCGGCAUGCCUUACACAUGCAAGUCGAACGGCACGGCGGGAGCAAUCCUGGCGGCGAGUGGCGAACGGGUGAGUAAUACAUCGGAACGUGUCCUGUAGUGGGGGAUAGCCCGGCGAAAGCCGGAUUAAUACCGCAUACGCUCUACGGAGAAAGGGGGGAUCUUAGGACCUCUCGCUGCAGGGGCGGCCGAUGGCGGAUUAGCUAGUUGGUGGGGAAAAGGCCUACCAAGGCGACGAUCCGUAGCUGGUCUGAGAGGACGACCAGCCACACUGGGACUGAGACACGGCCCAGACUCCUACGGGAGGCAGCAGUGGGGAAUUUUGGACAAUGGGGGCAACCCUGAUCCAGCAAUGCCGCGUGUGUGAAGAAGGCCUUCGGGUUGUAAAGCACUUUUUCCGGAAAGAAAUCAUCCUGGUUAAUACCUGGGGUGGAUGACGGUACCGGAAGAAUAAGCACCGGCUGCU
rnacentral:rRNA from 1 species